rnacentral:tRNA from 1 species
CCUGGUGGCUGAGACGGUAAAGCAUCUGCCUAUAAUGCGGGAGACCCAGAUUCAAUCCCUGGGCCAGGA